GGCGGAGCGGGCGGUACACCGAUAGGGCUGACGGGCAGCGGCAGCCGUCCUCACCGCCGCCCGGCCUCCUUUGUCCCUUCCCCUCCCCGGCGCGGCUAGCCCAGCCCAGCCGGCAGCACGGAGCGGAACGGGCCGGGCUGGGGAUUCCCUCUCCGCGACGCCGAGGUCGCCAUCUUCACCCCGACCUCGCCUCGGACCCUGCCGUCCGGGCUCCCGGGAGCCGUCCGGGAUCGCGGGAGGGGGCCUGCGCCGCGCCGCGCACGUCCGCUGCAUGUGACCGCCGGGCGGUAGCGGCCUCCUCCGCGGAUCUUGUCUGCGUCCUCCUCCGCCCUCAGCGCGGCGGAGAGGGGGCGCGGAGCGCCCGACAGCGGGGUACGGAGGUGCCGGGGCGCGGCGGGCAGACAAAGGAGCGGGCGCCACCGUGGGCAGCGGCCAGGAGAACAUAAGGUUCUUCGACUUUUGACUCUGAAGUUGGAUGUGCACUAAACUAAUUGGGGAUCUCUUCAGUGAGUAACUUGCUGCUUGAAGAAAGGACUAGACUAACUGAAGUUGCGGAAUUCAGGUUCACAUAACGCUAAGGACCAAAGAAGCAUACAUAACAUUUCUGUGGUGCUGGGACCAACCUUCUGAAAGAAGACUCUAACUUUUUGCCUUGAAGGUGUUUGUCCUGGGACUGUCUUGUCUUUGGAGAAGAGCUCAACAGAGAAAAGAUUUUCAGAUUGGAACCAUUAUAAGUAAACCUACUUAAAGGACUUGCUACCUGGAGACAGAUUUACGGAGUCCUGCUUUUCAUCUGUGUUCCCACUGCAGACUGUAAACAAUGAGUGAGUUUUGGUUGUGUUUCAACUGCUGUAUUGCAGAACAGCCUCAGCCUGUUGACACUCCAUCUUGCUUUGAAUUUCAAGAGCAAGCAAAGAGAGACUACAUCAUACAUAUUUUGGUACACCCUUGUUCCAGUGACUUACCUAAAAUGAACGAGAUGAUCAGUUUUUCCAACGUUCAAAUUUGAGAUCUUCGCGUAAGUCAUCAUAGGAGCAACCAGUGGGAUGGCCAUUGAAGCAGAUUUGUGAUUCCAUGCUUAGAAAAGACGGCGGCGGAUUGACCGAAGCAUGAUUGGGGAGCCAACAAACUUUGUUCACACAGCUCACGUAGGAUCAGGGGAUCUAUUCAGUGGAAUGAAUUCGGUGAGCUCAAUUCAGAACCAAAUGCAGUCCAAGGGAGGCUAUGGAGGUGGCAUGUCUGCAAAUGUUCAGAUGCAGCUUGUAGAUACAAAGGCAGGAUAACCCUGGGGAAACCUUUCCAGUUCUUGUGGGUUCCUGUAUCUUCUUUCCUGUGUCCUCUUUUUUGCCUUGGUGACUGCUUUCUGUGCUCAUGACGAGAGAAGUGAUGGCUCGUUGUUCACCCUUUGUGAUUACUCCAGUGAAAAGUUGCUGUUCUGCUCUGAUGAUGCCAUUUAUCAGAUUGGUCCAACCGUGCCUUUCAGUGGCAUGCACGCAUUUGCUUCUACCAGAAUCAUGAACAUAGAGCUGUUUAGGAUUGGGUUUAGUUUUUCGUUUGUUUUUAAGGCAAAUUAAAGCACCAACCUGAGCUUCCCUAAUCCCUCACAAAUACUAAUGUGCAACAUUCUGUUGCUUUUUAAUCAUUAAAUCUUUUGUCCACUAAAGUCAUUUAGCAAUGAGUGAGUUUCCGUUAAUGUCUUCAGUCAUCUAUUGUUCAUACCCAUUUUUGAAAGGUCUAGGACCUGCAAGCACAAAUGAUUAUUUCAUACAAAAUCAGCAGAGUAGAUGACCGCAUGCUUUGUGAGGUUGCUUUGUAUGGUGGCCCUCUUGGUGCUAGCAGAAAAAAAAAAAGUAAAAAUUGCUUACUGCAGACUGGUGAAAAAUUUUGCUGUGGCACCAAGUCAUGCCUGUUUCUAACAAAGGAUUUGUAACUUAGCUGCUUCAGAAUUAUGUUUUUAUUUUAGUUUUUAUCCAGCUGGUCUUGAAGUAAUAAAGAGAGAGCUUGUGUUCAUGAGGCAUUUGUUGUAAAUGUUCAAGUAUAUUUAUUUUGAAAGAGCUGACCUUGAGACUGUAAACCAGUGUAGUACCGUAUCUAAGUGUUGUGGAAGUGCUUUAGUCUAUUUAAAAAAGCAUAAGUUUGGCUGCUUCUUUUUCUUUUUACAGUUUUUCUUAAUUUUAGGCUGUAUGGUCAUUUCCAGUAGCAGCAUGUCAAACUGCCUGCAAUAUUAGCUGAAAAGUUUAGUAGACCUCUCGAGUAGUUGGCAGUUUCUGUGUACUAAAUAUUUAGGGGCCAUGGAAGUUGCUAAGAGCAACAUACUAAUCUGGCAGAACAGAUGCCAAUGAAAACAACAUACAGGGUGACUUUUUACUAAGUCAGUAAAACGCCUUUUGCUCAGGUUCCAAAGCAUGUUUCUUUCACACGUUGUGAAACUGUAUUUUAAUAUUGCACUGUUUUCAGAUUAUCUCUAUAAAUGGUCCCUUUUUUUCCUCCUUGUUGGUGGUUUGAGAGAAGUCAAUUAUUUGAGUCCUGGUUGAGUUAAAUUUUUAUGUGGGGAAAAAAAAAACAUCCAAACAAGGCAUAACUGAGCCUAGUCAGAUCUGUUUUUAUACGUGAGCACGCAUGUGUUCAUAAAUGUAGAUUGCUGUCAAUGAUUCUUUAUUCUUUUUCCAUACUUACCCUGAUUUCACAUUGCAACAGCUGUCAGGUUGAUUUAAACAUUUAUGAACCUACCUAGCCUUCUCUCUCAGUUCACAAACAACACACAAAAUAUAGGGCCAUGGUGGUAGUUUGCCUUUCCUAAAUUGUAUUCCAGUGGUAGGUGUCAAGUUAUCUGGUUCAGUAGUUCGAAUUGGGUUGGAUAGUCUUCACUGAUUAAAGGUACUGAUUUGUGACAACAGAAGAUCAAGAUGUUCAAUUGUCUGGGUGCAUAAACAUGGCAGUGCAGUGAUAUAUAUAUUUUUUUUUUUUAGAGGUCAACAUUUCCAAUGCCACUUUAUCAAUGAGUCUUAAAUAUACUAUGAUUACAAAGUUAUUUGAACUUUGUCAUUGGUAAUAGCAGCUUAAAUUUGCUUGCCAAACAUAUCUUGCACUUGUCAAAAUGUUUUCAACUCAAUAACCAGGAGAAAAAAAUAUGACGUAUUUUUAUAACAGACAUACUUUUUUUGUACAUUGUGUUCAUUCUUGAAUAAAGUCAGUUCAGUGUUGGCUUGGAGAUAUUAAAAGGAAAGUAUUGACUUUUAUUCAAUAAAUGUUUUCUUUCAGUU